UUACCGGACUUGAACCCAAACCCAGCAAAAUUUUGUGGGGUUUCAUUUCAAAGGCUUUUGGAACAGGCAAACUCACUGCAUGCGGGCGCCAACUGCCAGGAGGAAAUUAUGCCAUCCCGCUGGCCUGACCCUAUCCCAGAGGGCUCCGCCAACCGAUUUCAUCCACUUCCGGGGGUCAGGCAGCCCUGGAAGGCGACUCACUUAACAAAAGAGAUUCAUGCUGCGCAUCUCACGCCACCACAACUGUGCUUCGAAGUGGCGUGAUCAGAAGAUGUGAUGUUGGAUGAGCACAAAAGCCACAAGAACGGCCCAGUAUUUGCAAGAGGUUCCAUUCGAAGAUUUGUUUCCUUUCCAAAAUAAAAACAGUGACUAGCGUGUGGAGAGCGUUGAUGGGAGAGGAGGGUCAUUUUUUGGUAAAUAGCCAAAAAACAAACAAACAAACAAACAAACGCUUGGCCAGUAGUAAGACAAGCUGUGCAUCUCCCCUCUGAGCAGAAAGCACUAAGGUAAA